rnacentral:misc_RNA from 1 species
CUUGUAUUCAGCAGUGUAGCAAUGCUAGUCAAUAAAGCUAAUUUCACCUUUGAACGGGAAUGGGGAAGCAAUGAAGUACAGAAUUACAGGAGAAGGUGGCAGCUGAGGAGAGAAUCAGGAGCUGUCACAACUCACAAAGCUAUAUACAAGUUCAGAAGCUGAACGAGAAGAGAGCAUGCUUCCCUCCUACAGGAAGCAUUAUGACUUCUUGGUGCUGUUUUACAAAUCUGGGUGAUUAUUGGAAGAUCAUGCGGUAGCAGCUGCAGCUUCUUCUGCGACUUGGGAUCCCUGUUGCAGAGUGCAGAUGAGGUUGCGAUCCCCAUACACAUUGUCCACGCGACAUGUUGUUGGCCAGAACUUGGCGCCCCGAAGCCACGCUGCAGGGAACGCAGCGUACUCCCUGGAGUACGGCUUAGUCCAUGAGUCGCUCAUCAGAAGUUGGGGCGGGUGAGGAGCACUCUUGAGGACAUUGUUGUUCACAUCUGCUUUGCCACUUUCGAUUUCUGCAAUUUCUUCCCUGAUUGAGAUUAGAGCAUCACAGAACCUGUCUAGUUCGGCCUUGCUUUCACUUUCAGUGGG